AUGUCGUCCUUGAUCAGAAGCAUGAUCAGCACCACCAAAGCCCCGGGGGCCAUUGGCCCCUACAGUCAAGCUGUAUUAGUCGACAAGACCGUUUACAUUUCAGGACAGAUAGGCAUGGACCCGUCAAGUGGACAGCUUGUGCCAGGAGGGGUAGAAGAAGCAGCUAAACAAGCUCUUAAAAACAUGGGUGAAAUUCUGAAAGCUGCAGGCUGUGACUUCACUAAUGUGGUAAAAACAACUGUUUUGCUGGCUGACAUAAAUGACUUCAAUACUGUCAAUGACAUCUACAAACAGUAUUUCAAGAGUAAUUAUCCUGCAAGAGCUGCUUACCAGGUUGCCGCUUUGCCUAAAGGAGGCAGAAUUGAAAUUGAAGCAGUAGCUAGCUGUCCGAGGACCUUUCACAACACCAUUGCUAUAA